UUACGCAUGCCACGGGGUUUCACAAGCUUUAGCCACGUUUCUUUUCAACAAGUUUACUUUUGUUUUGUUUUGUUUGUAUAUGCAAGACAGACAAAGAAGAAUAGAGAGAAGCAGCAUACGGUAGAGAGAGAGAGAGAGAGAGAGAGGGGAGAGCGGGUGGAGAGACGUCGGCGGCGGUGACACGAUGGUGGCGUUGAAGGUUCCGUCAACCGUGAAUUAGAUCUUCGAGGUUGCUCUCCUCAUCCUUUCAGUUUUCAGUGUGACCUUAUUUACAAUUCGAAUCAUGUUUUUGUUUUCAUUUAUCUAUGUGUGUAUAUUGUUUGUUUCACAGGAGCUGCUACUGAGGUUAGUGUUUAUAUUUUCCGAUUUCUAGGGUUUCAAAUUGUGCGAUUGAUUCAUAAUGUAACUGUUGGAUUUGGAUUUUGAUUUGGUGAUAUGAGUUUUUUACACAAAUGUUUAGUUCAUGUUUUUUUUAACUUUGUUGUCUUAUAAUUUUAAAAGCUUAAUUAUUUAUACGGGUUAGGGUAAAUGAACCGACUACCGGCAAUUCCGAUUGUGGUUCUGCUGGCGAACGAAUAUCAUCAGAGCAUGGGGUCGGCGAUGGUAGUUUCCGGCAAUUAAGGUGCAUGCCCCCCCCCCCCCCGGUUCAAGUUUUUACUUCCCUCUUUGAUAAAGUCGUUAAUUAGAAAAUCUGGUUGGUUAUACUGAUAUUACCUUACGUAGUUAUCAAAAGUUUUAGGUAUUUUAAACUACGUCGUUAUAAUUGUUGUUUGCAUCAAUAGGCUUGUAGGAUAUUACUAUCUUCAUGAAUAGUUUGCUGAAUUCUCCAGGUCAAGGUAUAAGUGUAUAACAAGGUUUUUGGCAUGGGUCGAUGUGUUAUGUUACAUGAAUUAGGUCUAAUCAUUGUCCUGUCCUUGUCUGAGAUUUGAUGCAGGCUACCUUUUUAAUUAUCAGACAAGUGAAUUUUACAACUUUACAUAUGCACAAAAGCAACCAGAACGAUCAACAAAUGGAGGUUUGCUACUUUUGCCAUUUAUUUUUUUUUAACUUUGGUUAUGUUUUGGAAUGGUCUUGAUGAAACAUCCUAUACAUGAAUGGAUGUCACCUAAGGAAUGACAAGGAAAUUAACAUAAACAAAGAAAUAAAGAUACCGAGUAAUAUCCCACUGGACACACUCAGAAAGGAAGUUACUUGCGUAAAAUGUAAAUAUAUAUUUUGAGAAUCACAUAACCAAGAUCAAAUAUACCUUUAGACAAAAUGGGAGUAGUGUCCAAUAUGUAGGGAUGUAUGGAUUAAAAAUUCCUUUAUAAUUUUCAUCUAAUCUCCAAACUGUAUGGUUGAUUUUGUCCUAUACCUUGUAGUCUAUUUUGCUACAAAGUGUGGUGUUCCUAUGAUGUCUCUUUUUGGCAUGCUCAAGUUCACAAGUUUGUUCUGUACUUUUAUCUUCUAAUUACAGAUUUUGAAUCAAAUAGAAAGGAAAAAUGGUAAAGCAAGAUAGGCAGGAUAUAAUAGUGUUCUAUAUAUUAUAUUAGGUCUCAGUUACACAUAGUUUUUUUAAUUGGUUUUUGGAAACAUAUAGCAAUCUGUCAAUCACAUAUGAUUGCUUUUUUGGAGUUGGAUUGUUUCAGAAUUGCUUUUUUGCAGUUGACAACUUCAAUUGAAAAAGCUAGAAGAUAUAAUUCCCUCUUCCCAUAGCUCUGAUGUAUGUAUCAAAUACUUGGCUUACUGAUUUAAAGUAAAAAAAGACACCUAGGUUACUGACUUCCACGUGUGACCAUCGCAUGUCUCAUCCUUCACCUACAAAAUAGAUAGACAGAGACUAAGAGAGAGAAACUAGAGAAAGGGAGAGCACAGAGAGAGAGAGAGAGAGAAAGUGAGAUGUGGAAGAAAGAGCGAGAGAUUCGGACCAUGGAAUGUAAGAUGCACGAGAAUGAGAGCGGUGACGGGGUGGUGGCUCGAAGUCGAAAUAGAGACGGGGUGGGUAAAAACGUUAGCGGCUCAGGGUCCUUCUCUUUCCGGCAAAGAUGAUGUUGAUGAGAUUCAUGAGUGUAUGGCGUUCGAGCCUUUAGCCAUCGGUUCAGUUGGUUUCAAUUGUUUAUGGAGUAUGACACCCCUACUUUAAAAUAAUGCCUUGAAGAGGCAUCUUCUGCUCUGUGGACAAUAGGAACUUAAGAAAAGAACUGACAGGGUUGAAGAGGAGGUUUUUGUUGUUGCCAUAGGCCAGGUUCCACUUCUACCAAUUGCAGAAAGACAUUCUGAAGACUGAAUCCUCACAACUUCAAAUGAUCAAACUCGUGGAUUUUCAUGGAGUCAAUGAUGCUUUUGAGUUAGGUGUAAAGUUCUCCUACGGAAUCACGAUCACUCUAAGCGCCUACAAUAUCGUAGCUGCUCAAUGUGCAGCCAAAUACCUUCAACUGACGGAAGAUGUUGAAAAGGGCAAUUUAGUUCACUAAUUGGGAAGUAUUUUUCAGCUCUUGCAUUCUCAAUGGUUGGAAAGAUUGCAUUGUCGCUCACUCGCUCUUCAUGCCACAAAACCAUUCUAAUUAUGGUUCAGAUGAGUUGGGAAUCACAAGCCGGUGUAUAGAAUCCUUGGUGUCAAAAGUAUCUUCCAACCCUUUGAAGGUGAGUGUAUCACGUAGCCAUUCGAAUAAAAAAAGGAGAUAGAAGAAGUUCAUACAACCAAAAGGUGGUGGGGUGAGGAUCUUUAGAUGACAGCUAAAGUUUGUGAUUUGACGAUCCAAUCUGUAUCAAAAGAUAAUGAUACCAUAUACAAUCAUGACAUAGAUUGUUUGAAAUCCGAUGAAGUACAAGUUUAUGGAGUCA